CAGUAGCCGCGGUAAUACGUAGGGUGCGAGCGUUAAUCGGAAUUACUGGGCGUAAAGCGUGCGCAGGCGGUUUUGUAAGUUUGUCGUGAAAUCCCCGGGCUCAACCUGGUAAUGGCGAUGAAGACUGCAAGGCUAGAGUUUGGCAGAGGGGGGUAGAAUUCCACGUGUAGCAGUGAAAUGCGUAGAUAUGUGGAGGAACACCGAUGGCGAAGGCAGCCCCCUGGGUCAAAACUGACGCUCAUGCACGAAAGCGUGGGGAGCAAACAGGAUUAGAUACCCCCGUAGUCCCUGUCUCUUAUCC
rnacentral:rRNA from 1 species